AUGGCGGAGGAACUGUCCGCCAAGCGUCAUCAUGCUGAGACCUCGGACAAGAGCAGCAACCUCGUCGACAUUCACGUCCCCGGCGAGAAGCGCGAGUACACAACAACCCUCACAGGGGUUGAGCUCCACGGCAACGAGAAGCUGGAGAUCGUCUGCACCAGCGUACAAGAAAAGGCCGACGAAGUGAUCUCCAGGCUUUGGAAGAAGCUUGGCGGCAAGAGUCUGAAUCAUAGGAUCGUUAGCGUUGGUGUGCACUAUACCAACGAAGAUGAACCUCCCCAGAUGGCAGCAGUCCUGCAGUUGUGCAUCGAGGAGCUCUACUUGGUGUACCACAUCGCAGCGACCACAAAAUGGUGA
rnacentral:rRNA from 1 species